rnacentral:rRNA from 1 species
UUCCCCUAGUAACUGCGAGUGAAGCGGGAAAAGCUCAAAUUUAAAAUCUGGCGGUCUCUGGCCGUCCGAGUUGUAAUCUAGAGAAGUGUUGCCCGCGCUGGACCGUGUACAAGUCUCCUGGAAUGGAGCGUCAUAGAGGGUGAGAAUCCCGUCUCUGACACGGACUACCAGGGCUUUGUGGUACGCUCUCAAAGAGUCGAGUUGUUUGGGAAUGCAGCUCAAAAUGGGUGGUAAAUUCCAUCUAAAGCUAAAUAUUGGCGAGAGACCGAUAGCGAACAAGUACCGUGAGGGAAAGAUGAAAAGAACUUUGGAAAGAGAGUUAAACAGUACGUGAAAUUGCUGAAAGGGAAACGCUUGAAGUCAGUCGCGUUGGCCGGGGAUCAGCCUCGCUUUUGCGUGGUGUACUUUCCGGUCGACGGGUCAGCAUCAAUUUUGACUGCUGGAAAAAGGCUUGAGGAAUGUGGCAGCUCCGGCUGUGUUAUAGCUUCUUGUCACAUACAGCGGUUGGGAUUGAGGAAUUCAGCACGCCGCAAGGCCGGGUUUCGACCACGUUCGUGCUUAGGAUGCUGGCAUAAUGGCUUUAAGCGACCCGUCUUGAAACACGGACCAAGGAGUCUAACAUGCCUGCGAGUGUUUGGGUGGAAAACCC